UACUAGCGGCUGUGACAAUUGUAGUUGGAAAAUGAUGAAAUCACCCUACUAUUCAGUCCUAAGUAGUGGUAAUGUUUUUCCUUUCCUAUUUUUUUUAUUUCUGUUUACAUGUAUGGUAGCAAUAAAAUAAUUCCAGUUGAAUGUGUUGAAAACAGAAGAACAUAAGAAGACUGGAUUUAGAUCUGGGGACCGGGCCGGUCAGUUCAUAGCUACAUGAGGACCAGCAUUGUUAUGCAUCAGAAGGAAGCAGGGCACACUGCGCCAGCAUUAACCAUGACCAAACCAGUCAUGCUGGAAGAUGGUGCAGGAAGAGGUGCGUUCUCCACCGACCGGCAGACAGACAGAUAGAAGAGCUAUACAGAUAUAUUUACUGCAUUGUGUGUGUGUCUCACAAGUAGUAGUAUUUGCUGAAUCAGCCUCCUUCCAGCCUCCAGCGGCAGCUUAUUCACACAAUCACACAUUGCUGCUUCAGAUUCACACAGCAUCAUCAGUUACAAUUUUUUAGCCUGGUUCUGCACUGCUGCAUGUUACUAACGUAGGUCAUGUAAACAUUACGGUACUAUGUUAAGCAUAAGCCUGAACAGAGUUAGGUGCUACACAAACAGCUGUCCAAUCACAGGAACCCAGGAUAAAAAGAAGUGGUCAAAGGGAGAAGAGGACUGAAGCAGAGCUGUGUCCUAAGCAUUCAGAAGACAUAUGCUGAUGCUAGAAUUAUGUACUUUAAGACUUCUAGAGCUCAGCCACUUUAAUCUUGGUGCACCCAUCAUAAAAUUAAUAGCAUCUCAUGACAUUUACUGAGAAACUACAUCUACAACAAAGUUACAUUUUCUUAGUUUGUAGGCAGAUGAUUUCUUACUACUAUACUAGGAGUGGCCACAGGUGAAGCUAACUGAAUUGAUCUCUUUGGUUCAUUAAAUGUUUCUAUUCAGAACAUAAACCUUUUCAGAAAUGACCUGGACAGCCUGAGCUACCAGAGUCAGUGUUGCUUUCCGUGUUAUGCUUUGACCAAACCAGUUGUUCAGUCAACAAAUUCCUCUGUCAACAGGGUCCAGCCUUCACAAAAUGCUGCCCUCGGGUCUGAUCAGCAGGUAAACAAACCCAAAACAGUAUCAAAGGCAGUGCAGUGCAUGCUUCUAGCUGUUCUACGCUUUAUAUAGCAAGAAGCCCAGCUUGUCUAAGUAAUUUAAGUCUAUUACGAUUUGAUGCAGACAAAAUUGUCUUGGAGCAAGUUCAACCAUUUUAUGCCAAGACUAACUGGUUAAUGAUGUAGCAUUAAAGUGCCUAGUAAAACUACAACUCAGAAUGUUAUGGAGAAAAGGCUGCAUGUAACAUUCUCUCUUUGGUUAAGUUGUUUGAGAAAUACAUUUAAAAUACAGUGUCCACUGUUUUAUGUUAUAAAUGCAGUUUAGACAGAAAAAGAUGCAGUUCUAAAAAUGUGUAAAAAUAUGAAAACUGUUUAUUGGAAAGAAAUCCAGACGCAGACAGUUUUUAAGUUAAAAUUUUAUCUUACAAUGUCAUGCACCCUACAAACCACGGCCCAUGGUUCCCUGGUCUGCUCAGGAUGGCCAUGAUGGAAGACUUAGAUGAGCGAUGGCUCUAAAGUGAAGAAACCCACAAGUAAAAACAUCUCUGCCCUUUGUCCCUCCCUGUCUAUCACCCCGGUGGCUAGACUUGUGUUAUAGUAACCUCCACAUCAAAGUGCCUCAAUAAGUCAGGAGGUCUGGAGAAGGGCACAAAUGUAAAUUUGACCCAAAAAACAUGGAAUAUGCGAUUGGUUCGCAAAGGUGUAACUGAACAGCCAAAGAAAUUAUGCAGAAGGAUUCUGAACAGUCUCAAGUUGGACUGGACUGGACAAUGGGGCACUGGCAACAGCUUGUAGGACAGGAGAAGGACACUGCGAAGGCUGUGAAGGUUCCUUUAUAGUGGCACUGAUUGAGGCUGGUGAAAACCUCAGUACUCAGAACCAUUCAUGAGCUUCAUAGCUAACUUUUAUGUGCAUGAAAGUCUCAGUGUUGACCUGAAAUAAUUAGAGUCUGGUAUUCUUUUAAUCUAGAUCUUUUAAUCUAGAUCUGUGUAGUAAUAAACUUACGUAUUAAUUGGUGGAGUUUGGAUUGGCUCUAAAAUGUCCAUGUUGAUGUUUUGAAUGAGUUAAUUAUUGGAGUUGAGUUUGUAGUGGUUCGGUGGCCUAAUGGAGCAUUAGACCCAGGUUAGGUUAGUUUUUGCGCACAGGAGCUCGGCAACAUGCAUGCAACAUCAAUUUCUUUUGGCUAGCAAAACCCUCCCCACAAAAAAGUAGCAGCUAAGAGGAUUAAGAGCAGCCAGUCAGUUGCUAAGCACAAAUUGAUGUAGUUCAAGCUGCAGAUUCUCUCAUCUAAAAAAGGAGGAAAAGUAGUGGAACAGUCAAGACGCAGCAUCAUUAUCACUUGAGGCUCCAUCUUACAAAACACAAAUGUGUUCUGUGGCCUUCUAUCACCAGUUUUCCUAUGUUAUGCAUAGGACGUUACAAGUAUCUGGUCAUGUGUUCCACAUCCUCCUCCUUGAUGCUGAGAGGUGCUAGGGUUAAAAAGGACCAAAGGGGGUGGUCCGUGGAGUUGAUGGAACUGAUUUAGCUCCGCUCACCUCCCUGUCUUUGCCUUUGUCCCCUCUUCUAAAUGCAGCCCUUUCUCUGACCUUAGUUAACCAUUAUUCUGUUGUUGGUUAAUCUACCGAUGUUUUUAUAUAUAUUACAAUUAUAUAUAUACUAAUUACAUGAAAAUAUAUAAAAAUUGAUAUCAAUAUAUAUUUAUUUAAUUUUUUUCCAAUCGUCUUCUCAAACAAAAAUUAAAGUAUGCACUUCAGGGCAUUAUUUCCCAAACUAAGAUUUUAACUCAUGAAUGCUAUUUUAAAAACUUCGUAAUUCACAUUUAGUGCGGUUAAAACUGCUGCAGUUUACUGUUUAUGUGAACACGACUGUGUACUGUAUUAACAGCAUCCAGUAGUUUCCACUCAUUAUUCAAUAUUGUGAUCUUCCUUCAUUUGGCAGCUUGUAAGACCUUCCCUCACUCCUUUGUGGUAUGAAUUCACCCGACGCCAACACAAUGUGAUUGUCAGUUAGUGCUAUCAGCAGACCUACAGUACAUGUGAACUCUCAUUAAACAUGGAAGCACACUAGUAAACACAAAUGUCAGUCACGUGGUAGGAGUUGCUGGUGAUUUGACUAAUUUUCUGAGGCAAAAUUAAUCAUAUGUAUGAUACAUUUUAGAACACACACAAAUAUGGUAAAAACAAACUGUAGAGAAAUUGACUGUUCCUCUAAGCUGCUGUACAAACACACAAGCAUAAAUCAAGUAAAUAUAUAUUACAUAGUUCAACUAGAACAACAAACCCAAUAAAACUGAAUCUGAGUCAAAUCUGAGAAUAAUUUGCUGUGAGAGGCAAAGUGUGGGACUGGACCACAAAGCUACAGCCAGGGUGUGUCCUCUACUUAAUUAUGGGUUUAUCGCAGUUUUCUUGUCAAAAAAAUGCACUCAAAAGAUGUACACAAAUUCUGACCAUGCUAAUAUCUAAUAACUAAGUAAAGUGAUGUGCUGUUUUAACUAAGCUGAAUCUUCAUGCAGGACCUGAGGGGAGGUUUUGGUUAGACAUAGCAUUAAGUCUGAAAGAUCACCAAGAUCAACUUUACAUUAUUUUCAAAGUCAUCCUCCCUGAACUUUGUUUUUUCUUCCUAAAGAUAAAAUGAAGAAAAAAUUCAUACUUACCAUCCACCAUGUUUUUGCAGAGACAUCAUAGCAGAGUUGCCACUUUACUGAGCUGUCCGUCUCGUUGCAGCCUCCUUGUGGGGCUGACACUGCCAUCACAGCUGGAGAAGCAGAAUGUCAAACCAUAGCUUUGCAAAAAAGAUUCUGAAAAUCCAAGUGGUGAAAAGGCUUUUGUGCUGAUUGGCAGUUUGAUGCUUUGCUAUUUCCCAACUAAUACGACUGAAUAAAAGGGUCACACACUCCUUCUCCUCUUAAAUGAUGAAGCCAAGCCUUGCCAGGUAGAGAAUGAAAGUCCACAUCCACAGUCGACUCCAAUUAUGACUGCCUUCUACAGCAGGGCUUCCUACCACAGUGAUCCUGUUUUGUGCCGCUGAGAACUGACCAUCCUUGAUCCCACUCAGUUAGAUCUUCGACAUAUUACAGAGGACGUUUAGCUCAUGAGCUUCCAGUGUACUUUCUAUACAAGGUCCAGACCGUCCCAAUCAAGUUCGAGUUCAUCUGUGGAAAAAGCAUCAGCCACCAACAAACUGAGGCUGCCACCUUCGACAAAAAAAAAGUUCUGUGGGGAGCCUAAAACAUUCUCACACAAGAACCCUGCAUGAAAGCAUUCUAUGACUCUGUGGAUCACGUUCUCACUCACUGAGCACAGUAGAAGUGUUUUUACUCCAUUUUUCACAUUUUGCGUCUUUAUCCAAAAGAGACAGACACCCUCCUGUUCGGAAACCGUUCCUCUCGUUUCGUCAAGAGAAGGGACUCCUCCCUGCAAAUCCUGAACCACCCCCAGGAUGAUACCCAACCAAAACAUGACUUCUGCCAUUUUCCCCCUCUCACUCACUGGGAACAGACGAACAUGGCAGUGUCCAAGUCCUCCGAUAGAAAGUGUUCAGUUCUUGGGUGUUUCAACAAAAACCAAAGUCUAUUCAAUGUACCAAGGGAUCAAUAAGUGUGGACUUUGUGGGUUACUUUUAUUUUAAACUGACCAGCGCCGGCAACACUGUAUCAUGGAUCAGCAUGUGGUCGUCACUGUUAUUUUCUACAUUGCUUUCCGGUUUUAUUUUGACACUUCUUGUUUGGUUUCCUGUCUGUUCUACUGUAGGUUCCGUUUUACCACUCAGUCAUAUGUUUCACCAGCUGUGUUAAGAUGUCACUAGUCACGUGAUUAUCAGCUGUUUUGUGUUAAUCAUUAGUCAUUCUCAUUCAUUUAACCCCAGUAUGCAACUCAUUCCUUUGUCAGAUUGUUUUGUGAGAACACCGUCAUGCCAUGUUUUUGUCGUCAGUCAAGUAAGCUCCUGUUUUUGCCCUUUGUACUUACCUGUGUUGCCCACUCCUUGUCGGUACCUCUGUCUGUGUUCAAUAUUUCUGGUGCCUGACCGUGAAAUGUUAUUUUUGCUUCUUGUUUUGACGGAGCUGUCUAUUAAACGAAUUACUUGACUGAGUUCCGUCUCUGGCUGUGCAUCUGGGUCCUGCAUCAUGACCGCGUCCUGCCUUAGCAUUUGUAUGUACGUGGACUUCAUUUCACCUUGCAUUGCUUCAAGAACGAGGGUGCUACAGUGCUGGAUUUGCUUCACGGCUCAGAUUAAAGAAAAGAUCUGUCCCUACAAUCCGUCAUCCACUCGCUGUAGCUGGCACAUCCCACCUCCUGAAAAACAAGGACGUUGCUUCUCAAACUGACACGCCACUGCAGGCUGUGGACACACAGCUACCUUGUAGAAGAGUUGUUGCUCAACUCAGGAGCAAAGACUAUGUGGAAAACCUGAUGGAGACCAUCUUCAAUAAAGUCCUGCUGGACCCAGGUCUUUAUAUGGAGGACCUUGUGAACAUCCCUGUCCCACUGGCCCUCUGAGCAGAAUUUGAGCAGCCUGACAGAAAGGAGACUGGUGUCAAUUAAAACAGCUGCAUCCUCCAUCUGUACAGCUGCUGCACUGCUUCUGAUCAAAACGUCUUCCAACACGUAAUGAGCACAACAAAGAUCCUCACAUCUCCCCAGCUAGCUGCCCAUGACUGUAUCUGUUUCACUCCAGAAACUAUGAUUUCAACAUAACUAUGAAUCCUACUGUACCUAUCCCGUGGUCUGUUUACCCUACUUCCUUUCAUAACUCCAUCAGGCUACUCCACCUGCGCAUUGAACUGUGAAGUACCUUUGUUUUGAUGAGGUGAUGGUGAAGACAGCCACAGCUUCCAUCUGGUAAAGGACUGCUUCUGCUCAGCCUUCCAAAUAGUGAUGAGAACAAGCAUCACCACAUCUCCCCAGUCAUCUGUCUACAACUAUACCUGUCCUGCUGCAGAAACAAAUCUCCAACAUAACCAAGUGUACCCCCUACCCAGGACAUGGUCUGUUUACCCUACUUCCAUUAAGCAUUUCAUGUGCAAGGCCCAGCAAAAGCUUCUGUCCUCAAACCGCCAGACUUCUCAACUCACUCAGUAACUUAUACAUUGCACACUGGAGUACUGGUGCAUUUUCUGGUUAAUAAUAAACUUGGCGUUGACUAUUACAUCUGUUUUUAUGAUAGGAAAACACUUUCAUUUAGGAAAUCAUAGUAUUGAAAUUACAUGUUUUUCUCUUUCUGAUAUGGUAAGCUAUAAAUGUGGUUCACAAAAAACACAUUUCUAGUCAAAUAGUAAAUGAGUUUUCCCACAGGUGGUCAAAUCCAACAUACACUAAGUGCUUUAUCCAUCAGGAAACUCUGCCUUGAUCUACACACCACGCAUGAAGAGAUGGCAACUCCAAUUCUAGUAGUCGCCUUGCAAAUUAUAUAAAUCAAAUAGCCUACCAGACCAGCUGGCCUGUGAGUCCUUUAGUGGGUCUUUUUCUUCUGUGGAGGAUUGCAGUGGAUUGCAUCCUCCAUGUCACACUACUGGCACCUAUCUUAUCCUAACCCUGCGGCGCCUAAAAAAACAACAAAAAAGGUAUGCGCUUCCACAUAGAGGUGUGGUGAGCAGCCUCACUUGCGACUGUCACAGCCUGGACCCACUUCCUGUUUUAUUUUCUUGUACUUCCGGUUUUGUGUUGUCACUUUUAGUUUAGCUUUACUUUGCAGUUACAUGAUCUCACCAGCUGUUUUCCAUCAAUCAUGACUCACCUAGUAUUUAAGCACUAUGUCUUGCCGUGUCUGCGUUUGCAUGACCAGCAUUCGAGCGUUACCUUUGUGUUCAGUCCCGUGUAUGAUCCAGUUUUGUUCCAGUCGUUUUUGUCUCUUGUCCAGCCUCUGAUAAUAGUGAGCUGUGAGUUUGACCAUUGCCUGUUUUUGAACUUGCUUUUGCCUUCUCCCUGUCGGACCUUGUUUUUGCCUGCAUCGUGUAUGCAUAUAAUAUUCUUUAACAUAAAAAGUAUGAUCAGUCUCUUUUAAGAAGGUUCUAGGAAGCAGGACUAAACUUGGGGUUGUUCCUGGGCUAUAGGAGGAGGAGGGUCGUCCUUGGCCUAUGGAGAACUAGUGUGAAAGUCUGUAUAUAACAUGUUUCUGAGCGAGAGAUACAUACACAAUACAUGUGACAUGCUUAUGGUAAGCCUACAAUGACUUAAAGCAGGGGCUGGAGGAUGGUGAGCCAGGCCCCUACAAAAACAAAUCCCUAAAAGAGCAUCUAGUUCAAUUUCUACCUGUAAUUUUAAGAAACUGCAUUUUUUCCCAUUGUCCUGUUCUGUCUUUUAUUUAUUUCUUAUUGCCUGACACCCCAAGGCUCCAACUUAAGGUAAAUCUCCUCAUAAUUAAUAGCAACAAGCCUCCCAUGUAUAUAUUUUAGUAGCGUUUGGGCCAGGGGUCGGCAAUCCAAAACACACCUUUGACCCCUUUUUUCCACAAAAAAACACUGAUUGGUGCAAAAUGGUGAUUGUAGUGACAGGUUGAUGUGGCUGCUACUGUCCAGAAAAACAUCUAUGUAUGUCAUAUCUUUUGUAUGAUGUUAGAUCAGUGGUGAGCUCUCAGUGGUGCGGUCUUUAAGGUUGUGAGUGUAAUGUUAUUUUGCUGCAGUGACAGUUAAUUUCACAAUAUUUGAGAACAUUCAAUAUUUGGGUUUAAACCCAAACAAGACUCGAAAGACAGGAUGCAGAGGUUUAAAAUUAAGUAAUUUUUUGACAGAAAACCAUAGCAAUAAACAGCAGACUUAUUCAGUUCUCAUUCUUUUAGCUACUUCCAGAACUAGAAUACAAUCAAACUGUCAGAUUCCGCCUUGUAAAACUUGUAAGACUUUUUUGAUUGUGCACACAUGACAAAACAUUGCCAAGGCAUCGACAAGGACAGCUUACUCGUUUUUCUCUGUUUCAAAUAGCCGCCAUAACUAAGAGCAACCAGUGCACAUUCAAAAGUCGGUUUUCUAAGCCACGCUGAGCCGCAGUAUAAGGAUUUAAGAACCGCAUGUGGCUCCUGAGCUAAACCACAGUCUAGCACUGUCUGUUUUUGUAUAUGGACAAAAGUGUGUUAAUAUGCAACAGUCUAAAGUUUUGUUCACUUCCCAUAAUUUAAAGUUGAGCCCAGUGGAAUUAACCGUGUCCAUGGUUGCUCUGUUAUUGGUGUAACUAUCACUGUGGUGAAUGAUACAAUACUAUAAGUUACUAUAGAAAAGUGCCGCUCAUUUGUUGGUAAUAGUUUUAAUGAUACCCUCACCAAACUAAUGACUAACAUCUCUGUGAAACAGAAUUUUACCAAAAAAUGUGUAUUACUACACAUGCGUUUUACUACAUAAGGUUUCAGUCAAGUUUUAUAAUGUUGCCAGAAGAUUGGUUGGGAAGUAUAAAUUACUAUGUACACACAUUCACUUCAGGCACUGCAGACAUUCUGUUCCCCAAAGAAAACUGUUUAAGAACAGGAAGAAAAAACAAUAAGAUGGUUAGGAUACUUCCUUAAACUUCUUUCAACCACGACUGCAGUCAUUAACUAGGACUCAUUUACAGCACAAUCAUUUUUUGAGCGAAACCCAUAUUUUCUGUUUAAAUCUAACACAACAUAGAUCUUGUAACUAUUUGGAAAGCUAUGCAAACGUUUUAGUCCUGUAAAUGAAAUAAUUUUCUUCAUCAUCUCAUUCAAUUCAUCUCUAACCUCAGCAGGGAAGCCUUGUGUGGAGGAGCCAUAUUGUUGUAGGGUGUGGUGGCUGUGUGGUCAGGUUAGUGUCUGUGUCAGCCCACAGAGCUACAGACUUACGGUUAAGUUACUGCUGAAGUCUCUGGAUAAGACCAACCACAGUCCACUGUGGAGAAGGUCAAGACUCUUGCACUAAAUGUCAAACUGCUUUUUUGGGUUUUAACUUGCAUGAGUAGUUAUAGUAUGGGUAUAGUACGACUUUGCCUACUGAACAUAAUAUCUGUAAAACUGAUCUAAAGGGUUUAGCAACUACAGACGGCUCGCCUCUCACUCCACAUAGGCACAGAAACAAAAACAGAACAAUGUAAUUAGUAGUCCUAUCAGUCAACUCCUUGUCACUGCCCCCUCAGUUAAUUAGCCAAUUAACCUCCCUCAAAUGUGUAAACACACAGCCAAUCAGGCUUAAACACAGCAGCUCCUAGCCAAUCCCAGCGUUGAUGUAGAAAACAACACAGAUAAUUAUAGGACAGAAAACACACACACAUUUCAUUACACAGACCCGAACUAAAGCCGUUCCUUCAUUGAGUGGCUUUACAUCUGCUCAAAUGUUUGUGGUGUUUCUUCAGCUCUGCUCCCAUAGUCACAACAUGAGCCUUAAAGCUGCCUGAAUGUCUGUUAUAUAUAGUUACCAGAGCAUAGAUAAUAUGUUGAUUAGCUUGAUGUAGUAACGUCAGUAAACAGCCGUGGCUGUAUGGGCAUGUGGGCACUAAAACAAUCACAGUUAGCUUGUGUUUUCUGAGUGAUUUCACAAGUUGGAUCUGUAGCAUUGAAUAUACAAUGAACCUCAGCAACCCCACCAAGUCAUCCAACCCAGGACCUUCUCGCUGUGAGGCGACAGUGCUACCCACCGCACCACCGUGCCGCCCUUCUAAUUCAUAGGUUUCAUAUUUUUCAAGUUAUUAAGCUUUUUUUUCACUAAUUUUUUCCCAUUGAAAUUAAUGGAAACAACUUUUCAAAUCCUCUUCAGCCUUGUUAUCUGUCAGCUUUAACUACUUCCACACACUUUCUGUCUAUGCCUGUACUGACCCCCGCCCAGCACACAACUCUUUACAGGACUACUGAGGCCACCAGAGUGUCAUAAAAAGUCCUUAGCAGUUGUCUGCACACUGUCUGAGGAUCCUGGAGCUGAUGUUAUCAGGACCUGUGGCUUUCCUGGCCUUUGUUUUCCCUAACUCCCUCCUGACCUGGUUCAGUGUGAGGCAGAGGGGGGUGGGUAGUGGCUGGUCAGGAGCUGUGGGUUGUUGGGGGGGUCCCAUUGUUGUGGUCAGAGGAAAGGCAGAGUGAACUGUGAAAGAUUGUGGCCACAGUCGUGAUUUCAAAAUGUCAUACGCCUUCAUACUUCUUUGAAAAAGUCCAAAAGACAAAUGCAUUAGACUCUAUGGGAGAAUGUAAAGAUGUUAAAAAGCUGAAAGAAUAAUAAUAGUGAAUGAAUAAGAUAAAUAGUUCAAGAUUGUUUUGCAGUUUAAAUGGUGUCUGUAGCUUAAAGUAUGCUGAAGCUGAACAAAAACAAAGCUAUAGAGUAUUUGAAAAGUUGUUUCUAUUCAUUUUAAUGUGAGAAAAAAACCUAAUAAUUUGAAGAAUAUAAAAGAUACUAAUAAGAAAAAUACAAGCACCCCUUUCCUUAGGAAGCUAAAUAUUUUGAUUGUUGAAUGGUUUCUAUAGCUGAAAGUAUGUAUCUAAUCAUGACGCACGUUUAGAAUGUUGAACGACAAUGCUUUUACGAUGAAGCGUUGAGAAGAAAGAAAGAAGAAGAAAGCAACCAAAAAACGGGACAGAAUAAGUAUAAUAACUAGAAAGAGUAAUUUCUCAGAAAUUAUGUGGGAGAGCUGAUCUGCUGCCACAAUAAUGACAAGCGCUAAUUAAGCUGCUGGUGUCAAAACACUGACUACAACAAAACAAUAAAAACGACAAAAUGCAAUAAUUAAAAAGAUGACAAAAAACUUAAAGAUAAACCAAAACAAAACAGUGACAAUGAUUAAAAGGUUAAUAAACAAUAAGAUUUCGCAAAGAAUAAAAAGCUGACAAAAAUUAAAAUGGGACAUCAUUGACAAUGACAAAAAGCUUACUAAGCUUUCAUUUUGAAAGGAUGUGUAUGCGUGCUAAAUAGCUAUACUGUAAAGUAGUCUUAAUAAUUAGUCAUAAUUAACCAGUUGGAACCAAAGAUUUUCCUAAUAGAGCUAAUAAACUUAAUUUGUUUAUUUAUUUUGAAAGGAUAUGGAGGGGUGUGUUUGUUUAAGGGGUGUUUUUUAAACUGUAAAAAUAGUCUCAUUACCUAUUACAGUACCAGCCGCUUUCAUGUAGACUGAAAACUCUUCAAAGCAUUUUACUUUACAUUCCAAUUAUUUUGUCAUUCACAUGCAAAUGCAGCACCUAGCUCUCUUUUGCUUUAAAGUGUUUUGUGUCUACAUUAAAGCGGGUAGAACGACAUCCGUGAGUGUGUCACGGCUAAAAGAAGCUGGUCAACUUCAUAGGAACAUGGCUGUCAUGGUGCGAUGACUUUUAUGUGGAACUUGUUUUUUUAGUUUUUGUAUUGUUUAUGUCUUUUAUUGCUUCCUUCAGUGAGACCGCUAGGCCCGUGUACCUUUGGUUCAAUUGAUUUUUAUUUUAAAUCAAAAAUUUAAUUGAAAAAACAAACCAUUUUUCUCAUUUUAUUUUGAAUAUGGUAAUGAAAAAACAAGUAAAGCUACUUUUUCUGACAAUUCGUUUCAUUUAGGAAUCAAAAUAUUACAUUUUAAAAAACUAUCUUCGAGUUGUAUGUUUAAGAUUUAUUGAAUCACGAGAGUCAGAAGAUGAUCUGCUAUUAGCACUUCUUCUGCGGUCAAAAAAUGAGGGACAGAGACAUGGAGAGUCAUGUUAUAUUUGGUGGAAAUAAACAUGUGAGGAAAGGAGCAAACUACAACCCACGGCCUACACAGGGUCCGUUUAUCAGCUGCUGAGGGGGAACCAAUGCAGCGUCUGCCAGGCUUAACGAGCUCAGUGAUGUUCAGCCUUUCAAGCAGGAGCAGGGUCAUCGAGCCCACGCAGUCAAAUCCAGAAACGUUGCUAUAAAGGUUAAAGUUUUACAUUGAUUCUUUUAUUCUUAUUAGCAGCCAAUAACCAACCAGAGGUAUAAAAGUGACAAAUAAAGUUAGAAAAAUUGAAUUAGUGCUUUUAUUUUUUAAAAGUCCAUGCACACGUUUUUUUCAUGCUCCACAAAGCUAAAGAAUUGGACCUUGAUGUCUCAGUAAGGUGUCUGUAACGUUUCAUGCCAAAAAGCGCUGUAGAUCGGCCACACGGCCCGUCUGAAAAUGUGUGUUUUAAGCUCUCGUCCACAACGCUCUUUUUUCGGAGUGUGUCGCAAGCAAAGUUGAUCGCCACACCCCUUCAAGGAAGUGCAUAGCCGUGAUCCGCCAUGGGAAUCAAACGUCACGAUCACUGAAUCCACCGGAACGACGAAACUGGCUACCUCGUCCUCGUAGUGGAGUUCAACCAUACAUUUGAUCCAAAAUCUGACUCUGAAGUCGAAUCGGAGGCUGUUGAGGUGAUUACACCUCGACUGGCCCAAGGUAUGUGUCAUGAACUCCAGGAAUGCCCCAAAUGCACAGCGUGACUUGAGUAAAACGGCAGUUUAAUGAGUUCGUGGUCAGGCAGGCAGAUGUCAUACACGAUGCAGGCAAAACUAGAUCCGACAGGGAGUAGGCAAAAGCAAGGUUAAAAAACAGGCGAUGGUCAAACUUACGGCUCAGGACUGUCAGAGGCUGGGCUAGAACAAGGUAAGGUAACAAGGCUAGGUCAUACAUGAUCACAAGAUACAAGAAUGCUGGAAUUCUGGUCAAGACAACGCAGACAAUCUGGCAAGGUGCUAUGGUGACAGGUGGUGCUUAAAUACAGGUGAGUAGAGUACUAUUGAGACACAGGUGAGGUUAACGAAGAAAGGAAGUAAAACUAGAUUAGCUGGGUAUGAGUGCCGGGCAGAAAGUGGAACCAAAAUAAAACCGGAAAUGAGUAAAACAGUGGGCUGGGCUGUGACAGUAUGUAUAACUGGCAUUUCACAUUUAAUUUAAUUUAUUGAUUUAUAUACUAUGCAACUUGAUUAGCUGCUAACGCUAAUACUAAUGUUUGCCAAUGAGCAGCCUGAAUUAAUACAACAGAAUAUUCACAACACAACUACAGCCUGUUUGGGAGCAUAGCUUGAUAAAAUAAUAUAAACUCAUUUUUACAUGUUUUUUCUUUCUCGUGCUGCUGCUGUGUCAAAACAAUUUUUCCAUAAAGGGGUCUUCAGCUGUAGCUUAUAUUUUGCCGUAUUUGUCUGUGAUUAAUUGCCAAUGUGGGAACGGAAGAUAUUGCAUGUGUUUAUUACUUUUAUUAAUUAAUUAAAUUAAAAUUUCGAUUUAGUUUUUGUGGCAAUAACUCAAUAAAAGUUGAAAUAUUAUAAAACAUUUGUCUUUGUCAAACUGACACUUUACUGCAGGCUGUGGGCACACGGCUAUCUGUUGCUCAACUCAGGAGCAAAGGUAUGUACAUUUAAUAGCAGUAUGAUAG